GACGAACGCUGGCGGCGUGCCUAAUACAUGCAAGUCGAGCGGGCCUCCGGAGGUGCUUGCACCUCCGGAAGGCCAGCGGCGGACGGGUGAGUAACACGUGGGCAACCUGCCUUUGAGGCCGGGAUAACACCGGGAAACCGGUGCUAAUACCGGAUACGUCCUCUUUCGCGCCUGCGAGAGGGGAGAAAGACGGUCUUUAAGGCCGUCGCUCAAAGAGGGGCCCGCGGGGCAUUAGCUGGUUGGGGGGGUAAGGGCCUACCAAGGCGACGAUGCGUUGCCGACCUGAGAGGGUGAUCGGCCACACUGGGACUGAGACACGGCCCAGACGCCUGCGGGAGGCAGCAGUAGGGAAUCAUCCGCAAUGGGCGAAAGCCUGACGGUGCAACGCCGCGUGAGUGAGGAAGGUUUUCGGAUCGUAAUGCUCUGUUGUGAGGGAAGAACAGCUUCCGGAGGAAAUGCCGGAGGUUUGCCGGUACCUCACCAGAAAGCCCCGGCUAACUACGUGCCAGCAGCCGCCGUAACAC
rnacentral:rRNA from 1 species